rnacentral:rRNA from 2 species
GGCUGCGCGUGCCUAUCUGCAAGUCGAGCGAACAGAUGAGGAAGCUUGCUUCUCUGAUGUUAGCGGCGGACGGGUGAGUAACACGUGGGUAACCUACCUAUAAGACUGGGAUAACUCCGGGAAACCGGGGCUAAUACCGGAUAAUAUUUUGAACCGCAUGGUUCAAUAGUGAAAGACGGUUUCGGCUGUCACUUAUAGAUGGACCCGCGCCGUAUUAGCUAGUUGGUAAGGUAACGGCUUACCAAGGCGACGAUACGUAGCCGACCUGAGAGGGUGAUCGGCCACACUGGAACUGAGACACGGUCCAGACUCCUACGGGAGGCAGCAGUAGGGAAUCUUCCGCAAUGGGCGAAAGCCUGACGGAGCAACGCCGCGUGAGUGAUGAAGGUCUUCGGAUCGUAAAACUCUGUUGUUAGGGAAGAACAAAUUUGUUAGUAACUGAACAAGUCUUGACGGUACCUAACCAGAAAGCCACGGCUAACUACGUGCCAGCAGCCGCGGUAAUACGUAGGUGGCAAGCGUUAUCCGGAAUUAUUGGGCGUAAAGCGCGCGUAGGCGGUUUCUUAAGUCUGAUGUGAAAGCCCACGGCUCAACCGUGGAGGGUCAUUGGAAACUGGGAAACUUGAGUGCAGAAGAGGAGAGUGGAAUUCCAUGUGUAGCGGUGAAAUGCGCAGAGAUAUGGAGGAACACCAGUGGCGAAGCGGCUCUCUGGUCUGUAACUGACGCUGAUGUGCGAAAGCGUGGGGAUCAAACAGGAUUAGAUACCCUGGUAGUCCACGCCGUAAACGAUGAGUGCUAAGUGUUAGGGGUUUCCGCCCCUUAUGCUGCAGCUAACGCAUUAAGCACUCCGCCUGGGGAGUACGACCGCAGGUUGAAACUAAGGAAUUGACGGGGCCGCACAAGCGGUGGAGCAUGUGGUUAUUCAAGCGCAACCUUACAAUCUUGACAUCCUUUGACCGCUCUAAGAUAGAGUCUUCCCCUUCGGGGGACAAUGACAGGGUGCAUGGUGUCGUCCUCGUGUCUGAUGGGUUAAGUCCCCACGAGCCACCCUAGCUAUGCUUUAUUGGUCUAGGUUACUGCCGGUGACGAGAGGAGGUGCCCUUUGAAGGGGCCGCCCAUCUGGCUCGCCGC